rnacentral:rRNA from 1 species
AGGUAAGCUACUAAGAGCGAAUGGUGGAUGCCUUGACUGGUAAAGGCGAUGAAGGACGUACUAGACUGCGAUAAGCUACGGGGAGCUGUCAAGAAGCUUUGAUCCGUAGAUUUCCGAAUGGGGCAACCCAAUGUAUAGAGAUAUACAUUACCUAUAUAGGAGCGAACGAGGGGAAUUGAAACAUCUUAGUACCCUCAGGAAAAGAAAUCAAUAGAGAUUGCGUCAGUAGCGGCGAGCGAAAGCGCAAGAGGGCAAACCCAGUGCUUGCACUGGGGGUUGUAGGACUGCAAUGUGCAAGAGCUGAGUUUAGCAGAACAUUCUGGAAAGUAUAGCCAUAGAGGGUGAUAGUCCCGUAUGCGAAAAACAAAGCUUAGCUAGCAGUAUCCUGAGUAGGGCGGGACACGAGGAAUCCUGUCUGAAUCCGGGUCGACCACGAUCCAACCCUAAAUACUAAUACCAGAUCGAUAGUGCACAAGUACCGUGAGGGAAAGGUGAAAAGAACUGAGGUGAUCAGAGUGAAAUAGAACCUGAAACCAUUUGCUUACAAUCAUUCAGAGCACUAUGUAGCAAUACAGUGUGAUGGACUGCCUUUUGCAUAAUGAGCCUGCGAGUUGUGGUGUCUGGCAAGGUUAAGCAAACGCGAAGCCGUAGCGAAAGCGAGUCUGAAUAGGGCGCUUAGUCAGAUGCUGCAGACCCGAAACGAAGUGAUCUAUCCAUGAGCAAGUUGAAGCUAGUGUAAGAACUAGUGGAGGACUGAACCCAUAGGCGUUGAAAAGCCCCGGGAUGACUUGUGGAUAGGGGUGAAAGGCCAAUCAAACUUCGUGAUAGCUGGUUCUCUCCGAAAUAUAUUUAGGUAUAGCGUUGUGUCGUAAUAUAAGGGGGUAGAGCACUGAAUGGGCUAGGGCAUACACCAAUGUACCAAACCCUAUCAAACUCCGAAUACCUUAUAUGUAAUCACAGCAGUCAGGCGGCGAGUGAUAAAAUCCGUCGUCAAGAGGGAAACAACCCAGACUACCAGCUAAGGUCCCUAAAUCUUACUUAAGUGGAAAACGAUGUGAAGUUACUUAAACAACCAGGAGGUUGGCUUAGAAGCAGCCAUCCUUUAAAGAAAGCGUAAUAGCUCACUGGUCUAGUGAUUUUGCGCGGAAAAUAUAACGGGGCUAAAGUAAGUACCGAAGCUGUAGACUUAGUUUACUAAGUGGUAGGAGAGCGUUCUAUUUGCGUCGAAGGUAUACCGGUAAGGAGUGCUGGAGCGAAUAGAAGUGAGCAUGCAGGCAUGAGUAGCGAUAAUUAAUGUGAGAAUCAUUAACGCCGUAAACCCAAGGUUUCCUACGCGAUGCUCGUCAUCGUAGGGUUAGUCGGGUCCUAAGUCGAGUCCGAAAGGGGUAGACGAUGGCAAAUUGGUUAAUAUUCCAAUACCAACAUUAGUGUGCGAUGGAAGGACGCUUAGGGCUAAGGGGGCUAGCGGAUGGAAGUGCUAGUCUAAGGUCGUAGGAGGUUAUACAGGAAAAUCCGUAUAACAAUACUCCGAGAACUGAAAGGCUUUUUGAAGUCUUCGGAUGGAUAGAAGAACCCCUGAUGCCGUCGAGCCAAGAAAAGUUUCUAAGUUUAGCUAAUGUUGCCCGUACCGUAAACCGACACAGGUGGGUGGGAUGAGUAUUCUAAGGCGCGUGGAAGAACUCUCUUUAAGGAACUCUGCAAAAUAGCACCGUAUCUUCGGUAUAAGGUGUGGUUAGCUUCGUACUAGGAUUUACUCCGAAAGCGAAGAAACUUACAACAAAGAGUCCCUCCCGACUGUUUACCAAAAACACAGCACUCUGCUAACUCGUAAGAGGAUGUAUAGGGUGUGACGCCUGCCCGGUGCUCGAAGGUUAAUUGAUGGGGUUAGCAUUAGCGAAGCUCUUGAUCGAAGCCCGAGUAAACGGCGGCCGUAACUAUAACGGUCCUAAGGUAGCGAAAUUCCUUGUCGGUUAAAUACCGACCUGCAUGAAUGGCGUAACGAGAUGGGAGCUGUCUCAAAGAGGGAUCCAGUGAAAUUGUAGUGGAGGUGAAAAUUCCUCCUACCCGCGGCAAGACGGAGAGACCCCGUGGACCUUUACUACAGCUUGACACUGCUAUUUGGAUAAGAAUGUGCAGGAUAGGUGG